rnacentral:rRNA from 1 species
UUAAAUAUUAAAUUGUUUUUAAUAAAGAAAUGGGGAUAUUAUUUUUGUCAUGAGAUUAAGUAAUUUUUAAUAAUUAUAGAUUAUAGUAUUGCAAUAGAAUUUUGAAAAAAUGAAAAUUUUAUUGGAAUGAAGUAGUAAAUUGUACCUUUUGUAUUAGGGUUUAGCUAAAUAAAUUAAUUAUUUAUAUUUCCCGAAAGAUUUUGAGCUACUAUAAUUUGAAAACAUUGUUUCAGAAAUGUCUAGGAAUUUUGGUAGAAAUGAAAUUUUUUUCGAAAAGUUUGAUAUCUGGUUAUUUUAGAAAAAUUAUAUAUUUUAGAUAAUUUUUUAAAUUUUAGAAGAUUAUUAAUUUUAUCCCUAGGGAUAAGCUUGGGGAUAUUUUAUAAAUAUUAUUAAUGUUUAUUUGAGGUUUAGAAGUUACUAAAUUAUUUGUAAUAAAGUAGUAUGUUUAAUAUAAUUAUUUUAUUGAGUUAAUUUUAUAAAAUUUAAUUUAGAUGUUUUAAUGUUAAAAUUAGUAUAAAUUUUAAUAAAGGUGUGAAAUUUGAAAAUUAAAGUUAGAAAUUUAAUAAAUUUUUAGGAAUUAGGCAAAAUUAAUUUUUGGCUGUUUAACAAAAACAUAGUAUUUUGAAUUAAUAAAAUGUUUGACCUGCUCAAUGAAUAUUAAAUUGCUGUGGUAAUUUGACUAUACGAAGGUAUUGAAAUAAGGUUUUAAUUGAAUGCUAAGAGAAUGGUUGAACAGGGAUUAGCUUUCUUUUUUUUUAAAAUGGAAUUUAAUUUGUAAGUGAAAAAGCUUAUAUGAGUUUUUGGGACAAGAAGACCCUAUGAAUUUUUUUUAAAAAUUUAUUUGUUGUUAAAGGAAAAUGAAGUUUAUUUUUAAGUUGAUUGGGGUGAUUUUUAAAAGUUUUUUAACUUUAAAAAGGAAGGAAUUGGAACCAUAAAUUGUGGUUUUUUGAUUAAAAUACUCUAGGGAUAACAGCGUUAUUAUUUUGGAUAGUUCAUAUAGAUAAAAUAGUUUGCGACCUCGAUGUUGGAUUAAGAUUCUUUUAUAGUGAAGAAGUUAUACUAAGAAGUUUGCUCAACUUUUAAAUUCUUACAUGAUCUGAGUUCAGACCGGCGUGAGCCAGGUCGGUUUCUAUCUAGAUAUAGAUAAUAUUUUUAUAGUACGAAAGGAAUUAAAAAUUUAAAAUUUUUAAGUUAAAAUUUUUGGAAUUAUAUUAAUU